rnacentral:rRNA from 1 species
UACGUAGGGACCGAGCGUUGUCCGGAAUCAUUGGGCGUAAAGCGCGCGUAGGCGGCCAGAUAAGUCCGGUGUGAAAGUCACAGGCUCAACCUGUGAAUGCCGCUGGAAACUGUCUGGCUUGAGUCCGGAAGGGGCGAGUGGAAUUCCUGGUGUAGCGGUGAAAUGCGCAGAUAUCAGGAGGAACACCAAUGGCGAAGGCAGCUCGCUGGAACGGUACUGACGCUGAGGCGCGAAAGCGUGGGGAGCGAACAGG